rnacentral:pre_miRNA from 1 species
GCAGUUAGGGCUUGAUCCAAUGCCUAUUGAAAUCAGUGGACAAGUUCCCAUUGAUUUCAGUAGGCUUUGGAUCAGACCCUUAAAAC